rnacentral:rRNA from 1 species
UGGGGAAUUUUGGACAAUGGGGGAAACCCUGAUCCAGCCAUCCCGCGUGUGCGAUGAAGGCCUUCGGGUUGUAAAGCACUUUUGGCAGGAAAGAAACGUCGCGGGUUAAUACCCCGCGAAACUGACGGUACCUGCAGAAUAAGCACCGGCUAACUACGUGCCAGCAGCCGCGGUAAUACGUAGGGUGCAAGCGUUAAUCGGAAUUACUGGGCGUAAAGCGUGCGCAGGCGGUUCGGAAAGAAAGAUGUGAAAUCCCAGAGCUUAACUUUGGAACUGCAUUUUUAACUACCGGGCUAGAGUGUGUCAGAGGGAGGUGGAAUUCCGCGUGUAGCAGUGAAAUGCGUAGAUAUGCGGAGGAACACCGAUGGCGAAGGCAGCCUCCUGGGAUAACACUGACGCUCAUGCACGAAAGCGUGGGGAGCAAACAGGAUUAGAUACCCUGGUAGUCCACGCCCUAAACGAUGUCAACUAGCUGUUGGGGCCUUCGGGCCUUGGUAGCGCAGCUAACGCGU